CUUAGAGGUUAAACCCGAUGAACCUAAAUAUCCAGUAUGAGAAAGUCAUUAUUAUGAGUAUAUUAUUUUAUAAUGUAUUAAUAGUGUGCAUUUUUUUCAUAAAAAGGACAUUGUAAUCUGUUAAUACAAUUUAUAUAUUCUUUUAUAUAUUAUUUUUAUCAUAAAGAGUCAUGUAUAAGUUUACAUAUAAAUUAAUUAAUUUAUUAAUUAAUUGAUGUAAGAUCGAUGAAUUUCUAGAUAAAUAGUUAACAGUAUUAAAAUAUAUAAUGCUUACAUAAUUUUUUAUGUCUUAUAUAUAAUAUGUACAUGUACAUAUAUAUGUUUUUGCACUUAUAUUAUAACACUGCUCAGAUUUUCGGAUCUUCGCCUCG
rnacentral:rRNA from 1 species